rnacentral:rRNA from 1 species
AGUGAACGCUGGCGGUAGGCCUAACACAUGCAAGUCGAACGGCAGCACAGUAAGAGCUUGCUCUUACGGGUGGCGAGUGGCGGACGGGUGAGGAAUACAUCGGAAUCUACUUUUUCGUGGGGGAUAACGUAGGGAAACUUACGCUAAUACCGCAUACGACCUACGGGUGAAAGCAGGGGAUCUUCGGACCUUGCGCGAUUGAAUGAGCCGAUGUCGGAUUAGCUAGUUGGCGGGGUAAAGGCCCACCAAGGCGACGAUCCGUAGCUGGUCUGAGAGGAUGAUCAGCCACCAUGAAACUGAGACACGGUCCAGACUCCAACGGGAGGCAGCAGUGGGGAAUAUUGGACAAUGGGCGGAAGCCUGAUCCAGCCAUACCGCGUGGGUGAAGAAGGCCUUCGGGUUGUAAAGCCCUUUUGUUGGGAAAGAAAAGCAGCAGGUUAAUACCCCGCUGUUCUGACGGUACCCAAAGAAUAAGCACCGGCUAACUUCGUG